UAGGAGAAAGAGUACCGGCACAGGCAAGAAAAAACAGGAGGGGGAAGAGAGGAGCAGGGGGACCAGUAGGGGAUAGACUUAGGAAGGAGGGACGGCUGGAUAGGAAUUGGCAAAAUCGCGGGAAAAAGGAGAAAAAACAAAACUCCAGAAUGAGAAGAAACUGGACUUCUCGCCAAACUCAGGCUCACACUCUGUGGUCGCCUUUGAUUUUUGUUUUUUGACAUGAUUUUUCAUCACUUCUCCGGUCACCCUCUCAUUCAUCUGUGAGUAUACUGUAUGUCCUUUUCCUUUUCCCAUACAUGCAUCCUCUCUGCCUUUCCUUUUUUAUCUUGAAACCAUUCUCCUCUCCCCCUCUGCCUUGCCUUCACUUCAUUUUUCAACUCUUUUUUUUCUUCUUGUUUGAGAAAUGUGUUCCCUAGGUUGCUAAUCCCCCCAUCCUGUUCGUCUAUCCCAUCUCGCGCUCCACCUCUCUCCCUCUUUCACUAUCUUUCCUCCUUCAGCUCCUCUUUAUCGUGGGUUAUCGCUGUUCUCUUUGCCUCUCCUUGAAGGAUUACCUCUGCUCACAUUUAGAUGAGGGCUUUGGGAAGGGAUCACUGAGUGCACCCAGUUUCAGGGGGCCCAUGCAUGGGAGGCAAGCACAUGAAGGGUGUGUGCAUUUCUGUGUGUAUCUAUCUGUAUUAGUCAUGUGUAUCUGUGCAUGUGUGUGUUAGUAUGUCGGGGUGUGAUUUAGAGUUAACAGAGCCCGGCAGUGGCGUACGGUCACUCCUGCAUACGCAUGCGUACAUUCACGUUUCAUGUUUCAUAUGAAAUGAUUGUGCGAUGAUGGUGUUUGUUAUAAAACGCACUGAGAUUCAAGGUAAUGAGGCGAAACAGAGAGGUGAAAAUACUCAUUGAGCCUCUGAGACAACCUGAACUUUUUCAUUGAAGACGUGAUUUUUAUCAGGAAUGCCGUGGUCAACCAUAGAAGCUCCCCAGUGAGAAGAGAGCCAUGGGAAAAACCUCAAACUAGAUCCCGGUUGUGAGGUAAAUGCUUUGGCAACAUCUGUUUCUUCCAUGGCUUCCUGUUUUAUACCAACAAAGACUCUUUGAAUCCGACUGAAAUGAAAGAGAGAGCAAACAGCUUGAGAGAUCACAGCUAGUGACGGAGAACGUCAGCUCCAAGUAUACAGAGAGAGACUCUAACAUUUCCGUGUCUCUCAGCUUGUGACUCUGUCUCUUUCUGUCUCCUCCUGUCUCUUUAAUCUGUGCUCUCAUCAUAAAACACAAGUUUGUUCUUAUUGACAAUGCGUAUUGACGCAACAUUGUAAUAUCUUCUCCGCCACUAUAAACAGACGAUUUCCCGACUCACACAAUCAGACCUGUUGAAAGAAGACUAAAUCGGAGAGCCAUUAUGUAUAUUAUUCAACAUAAUUGCAUAUGGGAUUCACAUAACUGCUUCCGUGAAUAGAAGUGCUCGCUCUCUUUUUCUUUCUCUUUGACAAACACACACUCUACCAAGAAAAAAUAUAUAUUAGCAAGUACUGUAUAUAAGCCAACAAAAGCAGCCUCCCAUCAUUUGUCAUCCACAGAAUCAAACCGCCAAAAAGAAAACCAAUUCAAAAUGGUACACAUCAUUGACAGUAAUUAUAUAUUGUGUGCAUAUAAAAACCCUCAUUAUGGAAUAAGAACAUUAAAUUGUUAGCAUACUUAUUUAAAGCGUAGACGAGCUGUGUGCAUCGUGCACAUUUGUGAACACACAAAUAUACACACUUUCUCCACACACGUAGGCACACAUACUGGCCGACACUACCCAAUAGCCAUUGACAACAGUGCCCUAGCAACCAUUGGGCAUCAUGCCAAGCCGCUGAGGUUGCCUGGUAGUGUGUUCCCAUGGCAACGUUUUCUGCCUUUGUAAAUAAGGUACGAGGAGAGCGAAAUAGGGGGGUUUGGGAGAAAUCGCACCACAGAAUCUCAUUCUAUCUUGAGAGAACUAAUAAUUUAUGGUCUGUGAGUAGCGGAUACUUAUCCUGGCCCUGCACCAAGCUGUCAUCUGACUGAAGAGGUGCAUCAGCAUCGAUGCGGAUCUCAGGUCCGAGUCCUCGCCACACGGGGUCAGAUCCAGUUUUGACGGGGAUAGAGGAGAAGCAUGUAAUCUUAGUUUUCCUUCCUGGUCUUUAAAUGACUUCUUAUGAACAUAAUUGGGAAAGUAAUGAUCACACUCUGCUGUAGACUCUUGAAGUGACUCUUGAAUGUGACUUUUGGAUGCAUUUUCUGAUAAUUUAAAAAAAACAAACUGCGUAUUUAUCUAUUUGUUUGUCUAUCCAUAUAUUUUUCUUUUCUCAUCACCCCAGUUUAAGUGUUUUACAUUGAUUUUCAUUAUUAUUAUUUUUUUUAUUCUAUUAAUUAAGAAACAAUUAUGUUCUCCUAAACAGUAUGUGCCCUUCUGUAAAAUCAAGCGGACCGACAGCGGUCCUUGGCCCAGAGUUUGAGAACCGCUGUCUGAGGCCUGCAUUCCUGUUGAGCUGGCACUUGCCAGACGAUUCAUCGCUGCGGUUAACAGUUUAUUUGCUGUCACUGGGCAGAUUUCGCUGCUCCGUGCCCCUACAUUGUUUGGGUGGCGCCGUAGUCUCUGUGCGUCACUUCUCGACAAAGACGAUGAGUGGUGGAGAGUCACCUGAAGUCUUUGUUUAUUCUUUGACGGCAGAGCCUAUAAUGUUUUAAAGAAAGGGGUUUGUUUUAUUGACAGAAAUGUCUUGUUGCGAGGCAGACGUGAGCUUGAUGUCAGUAAUCUUCUCUUAUUACUUUUCUCUCCAGUUAGUUGAUGUUUUUUCUGGUCUUGUUUCUCAUGUAAAACACCAUGAGGUCUUUGCCAUUUGGCUUUCCUCUGACAGGACAUUGUUGUUGACACAUUUCAUGUUUUUAUACAUUUUGAAGCUUGAAGAACAAAAUGCUUAUUAUUUUUUUGGGUCAAAAAAGUCAUGCAAAAUGUGCCUUAAUUGUUAGUUCAAUAGAUAAAUCAAAAUUGUAUGCCUUUUUAAUCAAAGAAGCAGAGAAACUUAACAUUUAUAGAGAUUUUGUAGUCGUUUUAAUGGAAAAGCCUCGACUGCCAGUUUUCAUACAAAACCUAAAACUUGUGCAAUAGAUAUUUCCCUCAAACAGUAUAAAAAUAAGAGUUUAAUUAUUUUAGCAGUAAUAACUGACAAACAAUAUGGUGUUGCUCAGUGUUGUCUCAGCUGUUGUUAGGCAAGAUUAAAACGUGAUGAUCAUGUGCGUGAUAAUCCAUAUCCCCAGAGUCAUUAUUGGAAGUGAUAACAACAGCUUGAAUUAAAUUAACAAACUGAAUUACUGCUAAAUUUAAUUUGAGCGGUUUACAUAAACACUUUUUCAAGCCUGAUGUAAAAACGGGCUGUAAUUAAAUUAGACACUUGUGAUUUAUGAACAACAGGGCAUUUUUGUCUGAUUUCAUAAAUACAUAUAUUUAGUUCUGCUUAGCAUCAAAUGUUUUUUCAGUAUUGUGUUGCGAUAUUAACCCUUCUUCUCAUGGCCAUCUUGGUAUUUGCCAGUUAGUUCAGCACUGUCAUUAUUUUGUUGCUCGUGGGCCAAAUUUUCACGUCGUCCAAACCUUUGGACACUUAUACAAUGUUGUCAAAAGUGAUUACUAAUACUGAGUUGCUGCAGGGUUGUGUGGCGGUGUCGGAGAGUCACUUUAAUGGCCCAUUAACUGCAACUAUUAACGUCUUUUGUUCCCUCGUGGCUGAGUUGUUCAACCCUGGAUCACGGGUUACGUGAUUGGCCACCGCAGCGUAACGUUGGGUUGCGUUUCUCCAAAAGUUUUUUCAGUUUCUACUUUUCCGUCGCAGGCCGCUGUGUUUUUCUUCGGCGCCGCCGCAGCCACACGGCCAGAUCUGGUGUGAAUGCAGCCUAAUGCUUACUUUAGCCACUAAAAUAAUUUCACUGUACAGAUAUUUUUGGGAUUAUUGUAAUGCACUGAGAGCACAACCUGUUUUCUUUCUGUUUUCAAGGUCAUUUAUGAUAUUUUGGUGAUUUAGGCGUACCCAGAUAUAUACGUUGGCUCAACAUGAUUCACUUGUUUUCGCUCUCUCAAGAGGCCGAACUGUAAUCCCCACAAAGCUUCACCUGACCCGACACCAGCCGGCGUUCGGCCUUAUGCACCACCCUGGCCUCCAGUGCAGGGGCUUCCCACCAGACUCACAUUGGCACACAAACACACCCAGGCAGAUUGGCAAAGAGCUGGCAUUGGCACAACCAUGCCGCAUUCAUGCGUGAUCCGACUACGAAUGAGACGGUGAGAGAGGUUUAAAAAGGGGAGGAGCAGAAUCGAGGGGAUCAAGGGGGGAGACCUCGAUGGUAUGAACAGAGAUAUUGUCUGAGAAUAAGAAAAAAAAAGAAAAAACUUGUAAAAGAUUUUGAAACCUGAAAUGUUCAGCAAUGGAGGACAAAUAAGAGGCACUUAGAGAGGCGGGAGGACGGCCAAAGAAAGAAAAUGAAGGGUAGGCGGAGGGUGGGCUUUUAGCAUGGCAGAGGGCAGUGGAGAGAAGCGAGGUGAAUGGGUUUGUGUUUGGAAGCUGGCCAAUAUAAAAAAAAAAAAAAAUCCAUGUCUCUAUUAAGCAUAUGGUGCUGCCGUGGCUUUUGAAGUUCACACUUAGUUGGCUAAUUUUUCAUUUAAUAACGGUUAAAUGUUGACUCUUUAACAUUAUUACAAGUUGAGUCUGAUAACAAACAGCUUUUAUCCACAUAAUGUAAUUGAACAAGACACAACACGGCCAUUCAUCAUCUUAUUAUACACAUUUUAACUGUGCUAUGCAAUACAUAUUGAAAUGUAGUUUUGUUCCUGGCAGGUAAUCGAGUGAGUUACUCUUUUGAGGAAACAGGGUUCUACCACUUUAGUGUUUGAAUCCAGCUUUGUCAGUGAGCCUCAGUCAUCCAAGACUUCAAGGUUGUAUUUUUGGUGCAUUGACCAAGCUGAAUAGGAGGCCAAGCAACUCAGCUGCACAGCAGCUAUCAAGCAAUCAAUGAGUCAUUGAGGCACACAGGAGGAGUGUCAAAACACAGCCAUUGACUGCUAACAACAGCCAAUUUGCUGCUUUUGCAGGAGAUCACCUCAGCUAGAUGUCGAAUGUUUUUGUGCGCCUCAUUAUUUAUGGAGUAUGAGAGAGAUUGACUGGAUAGGGCUGUUACUCCAAAUUGUCAUCCAAUUACUCACCCAUUAGAUCUUAUUUGUUGUAUUGAAAACUGCUCUACAAUACACCAAUUUAUGCAUUACCCAAAAUGUAGCUUAUUAAACACUUGCAAAUCAGCUUAUAAUGUUUUAAUGUGUCGAGAUAUCUGACAGUAUUCCUGAGAUUCUGAUGAGGCCAAACCCACUAUCUUCUAUUUACUUCUGUUUGUUCUCCUAGAACAUGUUUACAUUCUUUAAUGUUCAAAAAAGGCUUUACUUUUCUCAUAGCGGCUGUGCUGCAGCACCUCUUUUCACCAUCUGUCUGAAACGCUCUG